rnacentral:lncRNA from 1 species
GCAUCAUCCUCAAGAGGAGCAAUGGCAUUUACCACAUCCCGCGCAGCAUCAGUUAACUCUUGGAGCUCACCUCGAAGUCUUCCUAUGGUCUGGCCAUGAUCUCUACAAGCCACCAUGGCCAUAGCGACCAUAACUCCAUUCUGAUUCUUCCUGUCCCUCAGAUGCUCACAUGCAACCUGAGCUUCAGCUAUUGAUGCGCGGAGAUGAUCAGCCUCGUCAACUACUCGGUCAUGCGCAUUUCUCCAAUCAAGAAGCUAACUACUCGCAAUAGCCUCUUUCCUCUUGAGCUCUACAACAAGACAACAGUUCAAAAACCCUCGACUAUAGUCGAAAAUACUCAAAAAUCGUGAGUACUCACCUUGAUAUUUCUUAUUCAAAGACUUAUAGCGGCUCUCCAGCUUCUCUUGC